AGUAACGCGUGGGCAACCUGCCUCACACAGGGGGAUAACAGUUAGAAAUGACUGCUAAUACCGCAUAAGCGCACAGGAUUGCAUGAUCUGGUGUGAAAAACUCCGGUGGUAUAAGAUGGACCCGCGUCUGAUUAGCUGGUUGGUGAGGUAACGGCCCACCAAGGCGACGAUCCAUAGCCGGCCUGAGAGGGUGAACGGCCACAUUGGGACUGAGACACGGCCCAGACUCCUACGGGAGGCAGCAUG
rnacentral:rRNA from 1 species